GCCGGGCAUGGUGGCUCUUGCCUGUAAUCCCAGCAACUGAGGAGGCUGAGGCAGGAGGACUUCAAGUUUGGGGCCAGCCUCAGCAACUUGGUGAGACUCUGUCUCAA
rnacentral:sRNA from 1 species